rnacentral:rRNA from 1 species
UAGAUACCCUGGUAGUCCACGCUGUAAACGAUGAGUGUUAGGUUCUUGGAAUAAUCUGGGAGCCGCAGCUAACGCAUUAAACACUCCGCCUGGGGAGUACGCACGCAAGUGUGAAACUCAAAGGAAUUGACGGGGACCCGCACAAGCAGCGGAGCAUGUGGUUUAAUUCGACGCAACGCGAAGAACCUUACCAAGUCUUGACAUAAUACGGAGGGAAUUAGAGAUAAUUCCUUACCACUUCGGUGGGCUG